rnacentral:rRNA from 1 species
GUUUACAAAGGUGUCACACGGUACUGCCGGUCUUAAGCCCGGAGGAAGGUGGGGAUGACGUCAAGUCAGCAUGGCCUUUAUGUCCUGGGCUACACACACGCUACAAUGGCCAACACAAUAGGUUGCUAAGCCGCGAGGUGGAGCCAAUCCUCAAAGUUGGUCUCAGUUCAGAUUGCAGGCUGCAACCCGCCUGCAUGAAGAUGGAGUUGCUAGUAACCGCAGGUCAGCUAUACUGCGGUGAAUACGUUCCCGGGGCUU